rnacentral:rRNA from 1 species
GGUUGCGAUCAUACCAGCACUAAUGCACCGGAUCCCAUCAGAACUCCGCAGUUAAGCGUGCUUGGGCGAGAGUAGGACUAGGAUGGGUGACCCCCUGGGAAGUCCUCGUGUUGCAACCC